rnacentral:rRNA from 1 species
UACAGAGGGGGCAAGCGUUGUUCGGAAUUACUGGGCGUAAAGGGCGCGUAGGCGGCCUUCUAAGUCGAACGUGAAAUCCCCGGGCUCAACCCGGGAACUGCGUCCGAGACUGGAAGGCUCGAAUCCGGGAGAGGGAUGUGGAAUUCCAGGUGUAGCGGUGAAAUGCGUAGAGAUGUGGAGGAACACCGAUGGCGAAGGCAGCCCCCUGGGCUAACACUGACGCUCAUGCACGAAAGCGUGGGGAGCAAACAGG